GCUCCUAAUACUAAGUUUUCGGACAAGGUAGAGGGAUGACUUAGUGGCGGACGGGUGAGUAACGCGUGAGUAACCUGCCUUUCGGAGAGGGACAACAGCUGGAAACGGCUGCUAAUACCGCAUAACGUAUACUGAUGGCAUCAUCGGUAUACCAAAGAUUUAUCGCCGAAAGAUGGACUCGCGUCUGAUUAGCUAGUUGGUAGGGUAAAGGCCUACCAAGGCAACGAUCAGUAGCCGGACUGAGAGGUUGAACGGCCACAUUGGGACUGAGAUACGGCCCAGACUCCUACGGGAGGCAGCAGUGGGGAAUAUUGGGCAAUGGGGGAAACCCUGACCCAGCAACGCCGCGUGAAGGAAGAAGGCUUUCGGGUUGUAAACUUCUUUUAUGUGUGAAGAUAGUGACGGUAGCACAUGAAUAAGCCACGGCUAACUACGUGCCAGCAGCCGCGGUAAUACGUAGGUGGCAAGCGUUAUCCGGAUUUACUGGGUGUAAAGGGCGCGUAGGCGGGACUGUAAGUCUGGCGUGAAAUUUAUGGGCUUAACCCAUAAACUGCGUUGGAAACUAUGGUUCUUGAGUGAUGGAGAGGCAGUUGGAAUUCCGUGUGUAGCGGUGAAAUGCGUAGAUAUACGGAAGAACACCAGUGGCGAAGGCGAACUGCUGGACAUUAACUGACGCUGAGGCGCGAAAGCGU
rnacentral:rRNA from 1 species